UCUAAUGGCGGAUCGCGUGGGGAGACCUCGCGGUCUGCCGGCUCCGUUUGCCCGGUUCGUCAACCCCACGCGAUUCGCCACCCUU
rnacentral:antisense_RNA from 1 species